UGGGGAAUAUUGCACAAUGGAGGGAACUCUGAUGCAGCGACGCCGCGUGAACGAAGAAGGCUUUCGAGUCGUAAAGUUCUUUUAUAUGGGAAGAUAAUGACGGUACCAUAAGAAGAAGCCCCGGCUAACUACGUGCCAGCAGCCGCGGUAAUACGUAGGGGGCUAGCGUUGUCCGGAAUCACUGGGCGUAAAGGGUUCGCAGGCGGAAAUGCAAGUCAGGUGUAAUAGGCAGUAGCUUAACUACUGUAAGCAUUUGAAACUGCAUAUCUUGAGAAGAGUAGAGGUAAGUGGAAUUUUUAGUGUAGCGGUGAAAUGCGUAGAUAUUAAAAAGAAUACCGGUGGCGAAGGCGACUUACUGGGCUCAUUCUGACGCUGAGGAACGAAAGCGUGGGUAGCAAACAGG
rnacentral:rRNA from 1 species